GCCUUAGUAGCGGCGAGUGAAGCGGCAAAAGCUCAAAUUUGAAAUCUGGCUCUUUCAGAGUCCGAGUUGUAAUUUGAAGAAGGUAUCUUUGGGUCUGGCUCUUGUCUAUGUUUCUUGGAACAGAACGUCACAGAGGGUGAGAAUCCCGUGCGAUGAGAUGAUCCAGGCCUAUGUAAAGUUCCUUCGAAGAGUCGAGUUGUUUGGGAAUGCAGCUCUAAGUGGGUGGUAAAUUCCAUCUAAAGCUAAAUAUUGGCGAGAGACCGAUAGCGAACAAGUACAGUGAUGGAAAGAUGAAAAGAACUUUGAAAAGAGAGUGAAAAAGUACGUGAAAUUGUUGAAAGGGAAGGGCUUGAGAUCAGACUUGGUAUUUUGUAUGUUACUUCUUCGGGGGUGGCCUCUACAGUUUAUCGGGCCAGCAUCAGUUUGGGCGGUAGGAGAAUUGCGUUGGAAUGUGGCACGGCUUCGGUUGUGUGUUAUAGCCUUCGUCGAUACUGCCAGCCUAGACUGAGGACUGCGGUUUAUACCUAGGAUGUUGGCAUAAUGAUCUUAAGUCGCCCGUCUUGAAACACGGACCAAGGAGUCUAACGUCUAUGCGAGUGUUUGGGUGUAAAACCCGUACGCGUAAUGAAAGUGAACGUAGGUGGGGGCCCGUAUGGGUGCACCAUCGACCGAUCCUGAUGUCUUCGGAUGGAUUUGAGUAAGAGCAUAGCUGUUGGGACCCGAAAGAUGGUGAACUAUGCCUGAAUAGGGUGAAGCCAGAGGAAACUCUGGUGGAGGCUCGUAGCGGUUCUGACGUGCAAAUCGAUCGUCGAAUUUGGGUAUAGG
rnacentral:rRNA from 1 species